GUGAAGUUGGAUUCGCUAGUAAUCGCGCAUCAGCCAUGGCGCGGUGAAUACGUUCCCGGGCCUUGUACACACCGCCCGUCAAGCCAUGGAAGCUGGGGGUGCCUGAAGUUCGUGACCGCAAGGAGCGACCUAGGGCAAAACCGGUGACUGGGGCUAAGUCGUAACAAGGUAGC
rnacentral:rRNA from 1 species